AUUGAACGCUGGCGGCAAGCCUAACACAUGCAAGUCGCACGAGUGGCGGACGGGUGAGUAAUGUCUGGGAAACUGCCUGAUGGAGGGGGAUAACUACUGGAAACGGUAGCUAAUACCGCAUACCAUCGGAUGUGCCCAAAUGGGAUUAGCUAGUCGGUGGAGUAAAGGCUAACCUAGGCGACGAUCCCUAGCUGGUCUGAGAGGAUGACCAGCACCACUGGAACUGAGACACGGUCCAGAAUCAGACGGGAGGAAGCAGUGGGGAAUAUUGCACAAUGGGCGCAAGCCUGAUGCAGCAAUGCCGCGUGUAUGAAGAAGGACUGCGGGUUGUAAAGUACUUGCAGCGGGGAGGCGUUAACCGCAGAAGAAGCACCGGCUAACUCCGUGCCAGCAGCCGCGGUAAUAC
rnacentral:rRNA from 1 species